rnacentral:rRNA from 1 species
UACGUAGGGGGCUAGCGUUGUCCGGAAUCAUUGGGCGUAAAGAGCGUGUAGGCGGCUCGGUAAGUCCGCUCUGAAAGCCCGGGGCUCAACCCCGGGAGGCGGGCGGAUACUGUCGGGCUAGAGUCCGGAAGAGGCGAGUGGAAUUCCCGGUGUAGCGGUGAAAUGCGCAGAUAUCGGGAGGAACACCAAUGGCGAAGGCAGCUCGCUGGGACGGUACUGACGCUGAGACGCGAAAGCGUGGGGAGCAAACAGG